UCUUCCCCGAACUUUAUUUUUGCAGACCUAUAAUAAAAGUGUCAAAUCUUCCUUUGAUUAGGGAUCCAAACAAAAGGUGAGUUGGAACACCCAAAAUUAAUUUCAAGUGGCGGCUCUGUAAAUAAAAUAAUCCCUUUUCAAAAUUAUCACUUUAAUUGAAAAAAUUCUUUAACCCACAAUACACAUAACAUAUAUCUUUUGCGGGGUAGAAUAGGGGUGUGACACACUGUACUUUGAUAAUUACACUAAAGUGCCCAUCCUGGUAAUAUAUUUUUGAAAACUCUAUUGACACUAGUUUCUUUAACUCUAGUUUUCAGAAGACCAACUAGUUUUAUGUAUGUGUUCUUUAAGUAUAACUUUAGCUCUUUCUACUUAUAUCUCUUAUUAAUCGCUCUAACAUUCCACACUAACCAAGUCAUUGGGCUGGUAUAGAAGGCCCACUAUUUGUUGUAGGCAAGCAUUUUUGAUUCCCAUUCCCACCUGUUUUCACUAUUGUUUUACUUUCUCUUUGAACAGUGGUAGAUAAAGUUGGAAACUCCCUGAUACAACUCAAUUCAGGACUUCUCUGGGAACUUGAUGGUCAUGCAUCCCUAUAAUUGGCUUAUUUGCCUCUAAUUGGUCAAUAGGCUUUUCCCCAACAUCACAGGCCCCUGUAUUAUCAUUUCACUCUCAUGUUGCUUCAUCCUUGCGUCAUCCAAUGGAACAAGAGUCUUUACAAUCUCAGUUGUUGGAGCUUUAUCUGGUUGCAUAGGAGCUUCAACUGGUUUACCGAUACCAGCUAAUGGUUGCAACCUGGGUCUUUUUCGAGCUCGUCCUCUUCCCCGAGCCAUGAACCACAGUGGGCGUACAUUUGACUAAUGUUCGCCAGAGGGCAUAGGAGCUAGAUAGAGAAAGCGGAAUUGAAAGUACUCUUUUAAAUAGCCAUUUCGUUCAGCAUGUAAUAUUCAUACUAUUCAU